rnacentral:rRNA from 1 species
GACGAACGCUGGCGGCGUGCUUAACACAUGCAAGUCGAGCGGUAAGGCCCUUUCGGGGGUACACGAGCGGCGAACGGGUGAGUAACACGUGGGUGACCUGCCCUCAGCUCUGGGAUAAGCCUGGGAAACCGGGUCUAAUACUGGAUAUGACUCCAUGACGCAUGUUGUGGGGUGGAAAGCCUUGUGCGGCUGAGGAUGGGCCCGCGGCCUAUCAGCUUGUUGGUGGGGUGAGGCCUACCAAGGCGACGACGGGUAGCCGGCCUGAGAGGGCGACCGGCCACACUGGGACUGAGACACGGCCCAGACUCCUACGGGAGGCAGCAGUGGGGAAUCUUGCGCAAUGGGCGAAAGCCUGACGCAGCGACGCCGCGUGAGGGAUGACGGCCU